AAUUUCCUUGUCAAGUUCAAAAAGUCCUCAAAUUUAUCUCCUCAAGUUUCAUUUCCUUUGAAUCAUAUUUCAAAUAUAUUUAUAAAUUGCAAAAGGCUCCUAUUUAGUUUGGGCCGAAAUCCCUUCAUUCGGCCCAAUUGGCACAAGUCUAUGUUGCCUCCCUCCCCUUCUCUUCCUGUGAGCCGCCGCCGCCACCGCCCCCGCUGAAACCACAGGCGCCGCCGUCGCCCAGCCAAUCCGCCGCCGCCACCUCGCCCAGCCAAUCCGCUGCCGCCACCUCGCCCAGUCAAUCCACCGCCGCCACCUUGCCGCGCCGCCUCCCCACCUCCAAAUCGACGCCGAGUCGUGCCGUCGUCGACCAUCUCUCCCUCCACCGCCUUUGCCGGCCUAUAAAACCCGGCGCACCCUUCCCAUUUUCCCCGAUCCAUCCGAGCUUCUCAAAGCUCGCUCUCUCUCUCUCUCUCCAAACCUCCAUCGCCGGCCGUCGUUUCCCUUUGUUCCCCAUCGCCGGCCGCUGUCUUUUCCCUUCCCGGCGCCUCCUCCGACCGCCGCCGCCGUCGAGCGCCGUCGGCCACCGGAGCACCCCUUCCCUCGCCGCCCUUCCUCUGUCUCUCUCUCCUCUGUGCCGAUACGAGGAAGAGGAAGAAGAAGAGAAGAAAAAGGGGGGAAGACUGACUUGCGGGCCCCACCUCUUAUAAAGCUUUAUUUGCCAUCUUUUACGUAUACGUACGUUAGACAAUACAGAAGAUUUUGUCGGCAUCAGAGCUGAUGUGGAUGCAGCCGACUACGCUGAAGCCUCUGAAAAUUUCAAGGCGCAAGGCAAGAAACAAUUAAAAUUUUGACCACAUGAAAUAAUCAACCCCAUAUUUACUUUAUGCCUAAGUUAAUCAUAUGAAUAACAUUUUGGUGGCUUAAAGUGAUAUUUAAUGUUUUUAAGCAUUGUUAUAUGAGAUUAUGGAAAGAUACAGUGGACAUCAUUUUAUGUGAUUUAUUAUUCAAAUAUCUUUACAAACUUAAAAAUCCGGUUAAAAUGGGCAUUUUUGUGUUGUAAUGAUGAAUGUUGAUGAAUGAUGAAGUUUGUGGUGUUGGUGUGGGGAGUUUGGAAAGUUUUGAAUGGUUUAACCGGAUUAUAAUUACCCCCUUAUACCAUGGGAAAUGACAUAGUUGCGUCCAUCCACACGACCAAGUAAUUGGACUUAGCCUAGUACAUUGUCCCACUUUAUGAAAGACUGUUGGGUGGCUCUAUGAGUGGUUUUGGGGUAAACAUGCAUAAGGAGUUAGGGGGCAGUGUUUCACAACAGUGGGAUUCAUGAAAGUGUGACGAUAUAGAUACCUUGCCUAGGCCUGGCAAGAGUUCGACCACUAUGAUGAACCAAGACACCACUGUGCAGUAACUAGUAGUAAGUGGGACUCUCGAACGGCUAUGGUGUUUUCAGCCUUGCAAAUUGUUCUCAUCGUGUGGGUAAAGCUGGACAGUCUCCGCAGAGGUGAAUUAAAUCAUUCGAAUGUGCCGUACUCCCGGUUCUGGAGUUGUGUCAUAAGGGUGAUUCCUACUCCUGACGUAUAAGUAGUUUUAAACAUAAAAUAUUAAUGAAAAUAAUGAGAUUUUGUUGUUGUGCUUACUUUCUCUUUAAUUCAAUACCUUAUGCUUAAGAUGAUGAUAUUUAAGCUUCCAUAAUAAUAUUCAUAUCAUGUUUAUAAGUGUCUUGCUGGGUACAUAAGUACUCACUCUUGCUUAAUCUAACAUAUAGAAGAACCGUUUUACGAAGAAGUUCCAGAAGGUAGCAAGGCCUACUUCAACGACGAGUUUUUCUAGGCUUAGUCUCCACUCAAGCUUAUACCUGUGAAGUUUAGUAGCUUUGGGUUUUUCUUUAUACUUUCAAAUAAGGUUGUAAUAGUUUGGAUCUUUAAAACCAUUAACAGUUGUAUAAUUAGUUUGUAUGACCAAAUUUGUAUAAUUAAUUGAAAGUUGUUAUGUAUAUCAA